AUACUUACCUGGCAGGGGAGAUACCAUGAUCAUGAAGGUGGUUUUCCCAGGGCGAGGCUUGUCCAUUGCACUGCAGAUGUGCUGACCUCUGCGAUUAAAAAAAAAAAAUAUACAAUGGUACCAGGGUUCACAAAAUUAAUUCUUUUCACAAUUCUGGGGAAGAUGGCCACAUUCUUGUUCANNN
rnacentral:snRNA from 1 species